GUYGUAAUCAAGGAUCUAACGUUCCUUAUUGGCUGAAAGUUAGUUUGCAGUUUGCGUUGAUAACUGGUCGCUUCGACAACCUUGAGUCAGUCGGUUCUCAUUUCAGGAAAAAACYACAACACUUGAUCUACACUCUYAGCACAUCGUGAACUAAAAGAUUCCUAAGAACAAUGAAAACAUUUCUUGUCAUGAUAGCCCUGGCUGGACUCCUGACCGUCUCCGUCACCAGCCGAAGUUUGUCCAAUGAGCCCUCGAUGGCUACKAACUAUGACAACUGCAUGAUGGCAUGCGAGGAUGACUUAAAAAGCUGCCGUGACAAGAACAGUGACGAUAUCGCAAAAUACUUUGAAUGCGAACCSAAAAAUAAAAGCUGUCAGGAUAAUUGUGCUUCUAAAUAGUUAUAAAGACACGGAUCAUAGAUGUUGAAUCAAAAGAAAAAAUUAAAUCUAAGAUAACCAUCUAAUCAAGUCAAUUUGGAUAAUUUUCUGAUUUUUCGCGAAAUUGAAAUUAAAAGGAUACUUAAAAGUCUAA